rnacentral:rRNA from 1 species
AUUGAACGCUGGCGGCAGGACUAACACAUGCAAGUCGAGCGAGCGGCGGACGGGUGAGGAAUGUAUGGGAAACUGACGGAUGGAGGGGGAUAACAACUGGAAACGGAAGCUAAUCCCGCAUACAAUCAGAUGUGAGCAGAUGGAAUUAGCUCGUAGGUGGGGUAACUGAUCACCUAGGCGACGAUCCCUAGCUGGUCUGAGAGGAUGACCAUCCACACAGGAACUGAGACAAGGUGCAGACACCUACGGGAGGCAGCAGUAGGGAAUAUUGUACAAUGGGCGCAAGCCCUAUGCCGCCAUGCCGCUUGUGUGAAGAAGGCCUUCGGGUUUUAAAGCACUUUCAUCGGGGAGGCGUUACCCGCAGAAGAAGCACCGGCUAACUCCGUGCCAGCAGCAGCGGUAAUUC